UACGUAGGGUGCAAGCGUUGUCCGGAUUUAUUGGGCGUAAAGAGCUCGUAGGCGGUCUGUCGCGUCUGCUGUGAAAACUCAGGGCUUAACCCUGAGCUUGCAGUGGGUACGGGCAGACUAGAGUGCGGUAGGGGAGACUGGAAUUCCUGGUGUAGCGGUGAAAUGCGCAGAUAUCAGGAGGAACACCGGUGGCGAAGGCGGGUCUCUGGGCCGUAACUGACGCUGAGGAGCGAAAGCGUGGGGAGCGAACAGG
rnacentral:rRNA from 1 species